rnacentral:rRNA from 1 species
UGCUGGAGGUAUCAGAAGUGCGAAUGCUGACAUAAGUAACGAUAAAGCGGGUGAAAAGCCCGCUCGCCGGAAGACCAAGGGUUCCUGUCCAACGUUAAUCGGGGCAGGGUGAGUCGACCCCUAAGGCGAGGCCGAAAGGCGUAGUCGAUGGGAAACGGGUUAAUAUUCCCGUACUUGGUGUUACUGCGAAGGGGGGACGGAGAAGGCUAUGUUGGCCGGGCGACGGUUGUCCCGGUUUAAGCGUGUAGGUGUGUGUUCCAGGUAAAUCCGGUUCACUUUAACACUGAGGCGUGAUGACGAGGCACUACGGUGCUGAAGCAACAAAUGCCCUGCUUCCAGGAAAAGCCUCUAAGCAUCAGGUAACAUCAAAUCGUACCCCAAACCGACACAGGUGGUCAGGUAGAGAAUACCAAGGCGCUUGAGAGAACUCGGGUGAAGGAACUAGGCAAAAUGGUGCCGUAACUUCGGGAGAAGGCACGCUGACACGUAGGUGAAGUGAUUUACUCACGGAGCUGAAGUCAGUCGAAGAUACCAGCUGGCUGCAACUGUUUAUUAAAAACACAGCACUGUGCAAACACGAAAGUGGACGUAUACGGUGUGACGCCUGCCCGGUGCCGGAAGGUUAAUUGAUGGGGUCAGCGCAAGCGAAGCUCCUGAUCGAAGCCCCGGUAAACGGCGGCCGUAACUAUAACGGUCCUAAGGUAGCGAAAUUCCUUGUCGGGUAAGUUCCGACCUGCACGAAUGGCGUAAUGAUGGCCAGGCUGUCUCCACCCGAGACUCAGUGAAAUUGAACUCGCUGUGAAGAUGCAGUGUACCCGCGGCAAGACGGAAAGACCCCGUGAACCUUUACUAUAGCUUGACACUGAACAUUGAGCCUUGAUGUGUAGGAUAGGUGGGAGGCUUUGAAGUGUGGACGCCAGUCUGCAUGGAGCCGACCUUGAAAUACCACCCUUUAAUGUUUGAUGUUCUAACGUGGACCCGUAAUCCGGGUUGCGGACAGUGUCUGGUGGGUAGUUUGACUGGGGCGGUCUCCUCCUAAAGAGUAACGGAGGAGCACGAAGGUUGGCUAAUCCUGGUCGGACAUCAGGAGGUUAGUGCAAUGGCAUAAGCCAGCUUGACUGCGAGCGUGACGGCGCGAGCAGGUGCGAAAGCAGGUCAUAGUGAUCCGGUGGUUCUGAAUGGAAGGGCCAUCGCUCAACGGAUAAAAGGUACUCCGGGGAUAACAGGCUGAUACCGCCCAAGAGUUCAUAUCGACGGCGGUGUUUGGCACCUCGAUGUCGGCUCA